AUUCUUUUAGUACAAAUAGUAUAUUUAACUUCCAAUUAAAAGAUCUUAAUUUAAGAAAGAAUA
rnacentral:tRNA from 1 species